AAAAACACUGUUCAUCUUCCGAACCUUAGGAUACACGAACAGCAGCGGCGCUAAGGGGAGAGAAAAAGAGAUCGGGGAUUAUCGCCGCUACUGUUCUCUACCUUUACAGUAUUUUCCCCUCACUUUGUUCAUCGCGUCUCUGUAUUUUUCCUCAGCAUCAUAUCCAGUUUUGUCCUUCACAUGUUUACAGGAGUGAAUCACUUCGUCCCGCGCGAAAUUGUCGAGUCUCCGGCAAAACUUAACCUUUCCUGGAUCCGGUCUGGGCUGCGUAGCACUCCAGCUAAAUAUCAGUGUCAUGGAGAUUGAGCGCCUAGGCGCGAACAUGGCUUAUUCUGAUAGGUAGAAAACUUGUCGAUCUCCCUUUUCUCUCCUCCCCUAUAGCCACCGGAAGAGCAACCCCUCCUCCUCCACUUCCACCGCCGCCUCCGCUUUCAAACCCGUCACCGACUUCCACCGCUGCAACUGAUUGCAGCGGAGGAUUCGAACUCAGCGGCGAAGAAUCCACCACCGGCCUCUCUCUCUCCCUCUCUCUCUCUCUCUCCAUCUUUGUUUGGAAUUUAAUUUUGAUUUCGUUCACUUGGGCGAUAGACGCAACAUCUGCAGCGGCAAUAGCAGUAACAUUCAAAAUCGUCAGGGUCGUUGCUUCUUCUACCACCCGCAGAACAGCGAAGCCAACAACUUUGAUUCCUCCAGGGGCCUCCACCAGGCCAGGGAUCGAACCGUUUGUGAGCUAUCAUCACGACCUGCCACGAAUACAAUAAGCCCAGAACAUUUGGUUUCUGCUAUCUGAAUCUCGUUUAGAUUUUAUGAAUUAUAAAACACAAAUUUUUUGGGAAGUGUGUUUCUUUCUCACUGUCACAAAUCUUGUGAUGAGGAGAUAGAGUUUGAAUGGAAAUAGAAAAUGGGAUUUUGAUUUUAUCGGUGUUUAUUGUUGCAACUAAGAUUGUGUAUUUUGCGGAAAUCUGUUUUAGGAGCUUAGGGGAUUUGGUGAAGUUCUGGAGUAGCUUGAAUGAGCCCAACACAUAUGCUCUUUAUGCGUAUCUCAGGGGACUGUAUCCACCAGGCCAUUGUUCAGAGAUUGAAGUUGUAAAAUCAUCACGAAGGAUCUCGAUUCGCACAAUAAGAAGCCUCUGGGGGAGGGAUUUGAAGGAAUAGCUGUUAAAAUUUGGGGAAAAGGAGAGAACAAGACUCUGUAGAAUUUGCUGCAUUUGGGUUUUGGAGCAUUCCCUAUAGAGGAAGAAGAGAGAUCGGGGGAGAGAGAGAAAUGUGGAUUACUGCCUCUAUUGUUAGUGUACCUUGAAUCGGAGAAGAUGAACAUUGUUUUUCUCUCAAUUGUCUGCAAGGGUAGUAUGGAGAUUAAAAAAUAUUGUAAUGGCAAAUUUCAAGGAAAAGCUAACGAAGGGGAUUUUUGUCUCA